rnacentral:rRNA from 1 species
GGUGAACGCUGGCGGCGUGCCUAAUACAUGCAAGUCGAGCGGACAGACAAUAAGCUUGCUCCUUUACCGUUAGCGGCGGACGGGUGAGUAACACGUAGAUCACCUUCCAAUUAUUCUUGGAUAACUCCGGAAAACCGCUGCUAAUGCCAGCUCACACGAUCUACCGCUGAAAUCAACAGAGCAUCGCGGCUUUCCCGUCACAUAUAGCCGGUCCCGCGCCGUAUUAGCUAGUUGGUGAGGUAACGGCACACCAAGGCAACGAUCCGUAGCCGACCUGAGAGGUUGAUCGGCCACACUGGAACUGAGACACGGUCCAGACUCCUACGGGAGGCAGCAGUAGGGAAUAUUCCGCAAUGGGCGAAAGCCUGACGGAGCAACGCCGCGUGAGUGAUGAAGGUCUUCGGAUCGUAAAACUCUGUUAUUAGGGAAGAACAAAUGCGUAAGUAACUGUGCGCGUCUUGACGGUACCUAAUCAGAAAGCCACGGCUAACUACGUG